rnacentral:rRNA from 1 species
GACGAACCGAGCGAACGUUAUUCGGAAUCACUGGGCUUAAAGGGCGCGUAGGCGGGCCGUCAAGUCAGGGGUGAAAGCCCCCAGCUCAACUGGGGAAGUGCCUUUGAUACUGACGGCCUCGAGGGAGAUAGGGGCGUGCGGAACUUCCGGUGGAGCGGUGAAAUGCGCAGAUAUCAGGAGGAACACCGGUGGCGAAGGCGGUUCUCUGGGCCUUACCUGACGCUGAGGAGCGAAAGCGUGGGGAGCAAACAGG